CGUCGUUUAAAGCUAACGAUGCUUUACUUUCUUCCGCAUAUGUUUUCGCAUAUCAACUCCUCAAACCUUAUCAGAUAUCAACUGAGAGAACUCAGAAGACAGAAUCGAUCAUGAUUAAACUCUCUUUCACUCCUAUUACGAAGAUGGGCGUUUGCCGCAACUCAUUGGAUUCUUGUGAGUCCUUCGAUUCUUCCUAACAGUUGGAUUUUCCCCAAAGCUGGCACACAUGGCUUACACCCUAACGACAGAGGUAGAGAACAAGUUUCAAAUCAAACGAAUUCGUUUUCUCAAGACUCCUAAUGCUCGUAGUGGUCUUAAACACAAUGGAGGAAAAGACUGGGCAAAAGUUUCUGGAGCACAUCGUGUGUGUUCAGUUUUGUUGAAAUUUCAUCGGUCAACAUAACGCCAGAAAGGUGCUUUCUGUGGCUAUAUAUGUUGAAUGAAAAUUAUCAGUUUAUAUGUUGAAUUCUAGGUCAGGAGUAUAAAAAGAAAGAGGUAAGAAGGAAGAUGAGGAUGCUAUAGGUGCAGCAAUCUCACCAAGGUCAUCUUAGAAGGCUAAACAAUUUGAUAUCGGCAUUAUGAUAUGAAAGGUAGUUAAUGCCAACAUGGUUUGACUUAUAUUACUUAUAUAUGAUCUUAAAGAAAUUGUAUUCUACUAGUUUUAUUUCUGCUUAUAGCACCUACUGAUCUUUGCUAAUAUUAAAUUGUAAGAUUCUCUUACUUUUCCUACCGGAAGUGGUCUCCCAUGUGUUGACAUAAGUGAUUAAAUUAAUCUACCUGUUUACUAAAACUCUAAAAGCAUUUCCAACAUAGUGCACCUGUUUUUAACUUUUUUUUUCUUUGUAGAUUUUUAAAAUCUGUUAUCUUUUUAUAACGUUAAUUACAUCUUUUUUUAAUCAAAAUAUCUUUAUAAAUAUAUUGUUUCACAAUUAAAGAAAAACCAAAUUAAAGUUAUGUACUUUUAAUGGGCCCCAUUGGCUCGGGUUAGGCUACAAGGUUGUCUUUCUUAUUAUUUGUUUCCAUUGGUUUCUUAAGCAAAGGUCAGUUUGAAGUAUUCAUAACAAAGCCAUGCAUACUUGUUUGAGUUCUCGUUACAAAAGGUAAUAUUUCAUUUUUUUCUUUAAAUACCUUCGUGUAAUAAAUCUUAUCCUUAUAAGUUAUACACAACCUUACUAACUAAUGACUGAAAUACCCUUGUUGCAGGUUCCAUGAUCUGAAAAUCAUUUUUUCAUAAUAAUGGACAUGUUAAGAGCCCAAAAUAUUUGGGAUCAAAGGAUCUUAACAAAAACAAACUUUGUCCAAAGUCAAAUUUGCAAAGCCUUGUUGGAAUCUUUGCCUUCUCUUCAUGAUAAAUUGUUUGUCGCUGCAAUAGAGUCUGUGGUUAGAAUUUCUUAAAAACAAAGUAUUUUUGAAACUUGAAGAAUUGAAAGAAUCGUAGAAACUCUAGAAUUAUAGAUGUGGUUGUUGUAUAGCAUGUACUUAUCCUUUUUUUUUUCAAAAUGACAAAUGUAAUUAUAGUUAUCAUUUUUAAUAAAAAUUAGCAAUUGAGAUUC